AACAGAGUGGACCUCAUAGAUCAGUGUGUGCUGAAAUCCACUUCCGAGGGACAAGGGAGGCUCCACCUCUGCUGCUGCUCACAAGGAUGCUGAUCUGGUGAGACUUCAUCUGACCCUAACUCUGCUAUGGGCACCAGGCUCCUUUGCUGGAUUAUCCUCUGUCUCCUGGGCAUAGACCAAACCAAAGCUGGAGUCUCCCAGUCCCCUAUGCACAGGGUAACAGAGAAGGGACAGAAUGUAACUCUCAGAUGUGAUCCAAUUUCUGAUCAUGUUACUCUUUAUUGGUACCAACAGAAUCCAGGGCAAGGCCCAGAGUUUCUGAUUUAUUUCCAGAAUGAAUUUGCAACAGACACAUCUGGGAUGCCUAAUGAUCGGUUCUCUGCAGAGAGGCCUGAGGGCUCCUCCUCCACACUGAAGAUCAAGUCUGCAGAGCAAGAGGACUCAGCCUUGUACCUCUGUGCCAGCAGCUUAGUCACGGUGUGGCAUAGCCACCUCCUUCCUGCUCACAAACCUCAUGUGCCAGCUGUCCUCACAGUUCCCAGAAACCCUGAAUAG